rnacentral:rRNA from 1 species
AACGAACGCUGGCGGCGUGUUUAAGACAUGCAAGUCGCACGGGAUAAGACAUGUAGUAAUACUUGUUUUAUUUAGUGGCGCACGGGUGAGUAACACGUGAAUUACAUGCCCUAUAGUGGGGAAUAGCCCAGGGAAACUUGGAUUAAUACCCCAUGGUAUCGAAAGAUUAAAGGUGGCCGCAAGGCUGUCGCUAUAGGAUUGGUUCACGCCCUAUCAGCUUGUUGGUGAAGUAACGGCUCACCAAGGCAAUGACGGGUACCUGGUCUGAGAGGACGAUCAGGCACACUGGGACUGAGACACGGUCCAGACACCUACGGGUGGCAGCAGUCGAGAAUAAUUCACAAUGGGGGCAACCCUGAUGGUGCAACGCCGCGUGGAGGAUGACGGUCUUCGGAUUGUAAACUCCUGUCAUCUGGGAGAAAGACCUGACGGUAUAUAGCCGGCAGGGUUGAUAGUACCAGAAGAGGAAGGGACGGCUAACUUCGUGCCAGCAGCCGCCGUAA